GACGAACGCUGGCGGCGUGCCUAAUACAUGCAAGUCGAGCGAGACUCUUCGGAGUCUAGCGGCGGACGGGUGAGUAACACGUGGGCAACCUGCCUGUAAGACUGGGAUAACACCGGGAAACCGGUGCUAAUACCGGAUAAUCCUUUUCCUCUCAUGAGGAAAAGCUGAAAGUCGGUUUCGGCUGACACUUACAGAUGGGCCCGCGGCGCAUUAGCUAGUUGGUGAGGUAACGGCUCACCAAGGCGACGAUGCGUAGCCGACCUGAGAGGGUGAGCGGCCAAACUGGAACUGAGACACGGCCCAGACUCCUACGGGAGUCAGCAGUAGGGAAGCUUCCACAAUGGACGAAAGUCUAAUGGAGCAACGCCGCGUGGGCGAUGAAGGCCUUCGGGUCGUAAAGCUCUGUUGUUAGGGAAGAACAAGUACCGGAGUAACUGCCGGUACCUUGACGGUACCUAACCAGAAAGCCACGGCUAACUACGUGCCAGCAGCCGCCGUAACAC
rnacentral:rRNA from 1 species